CAGUCGCCGCGGGAAAACGAAGGGGGCUAGCGUUGUUCGGAUUUACUGGGCGUAAAGGGCGCGUAGGCGGGCGAAUAAGUCAGGGGUGAAAUCCCAAGGCUCAACCUUGGAACUGCCUUUGAUACUGUUUGUCUUGAGUUCGAGAGAGGUAAGUGGAACUGCGAGUGUAGAGGUGAAAUUCGUAGAUAUUCGCAAGAACACCAGUGGCGAAGGCGGCUUACUGGCUCGAAACUGACGCUGAGGCGCGAAAGCGUGGGGAGCAAACAGGAUUAGAUACCCCAGUAGUCCCUGUCUCUUUACA
rnacentral:rRNA from 1 species